AGAGAUCUUUUGGAGAGUCCAGACUGCAGACUGGAGACUCUCGGGAUCAAUGACGAGACAAUCACAGCCACGAUACAGAAGAAAUGUUCUUCCUCUCUCUGAAUCCUCCUACCACAGGAUAAAAAGUUGUAAUUGAUAGUCAUGACUACGUUGGAUAGACUGGAUGUUAUUCUGGAGCUGACAUUUAUUCAUAAAUAAACAUCUUUGAUACUCGGUUCAA